rnacentral:rRNA from 1 species
AGCGAACGCUGGCGGCAGGCCUAGCACAUGCAAGUCGAACGCACCUUCGGGUGAGUGGCGGACGGGUGAGUAACACGUGGGAACGUGCCUUUUGGUUCGGAAUAACUCAGGGAAACUUGUGCUAAUACCGAAUGUGCCCUUCGGGGAAAGGAUUUAUCGCCAUUAGAGCGGCCCGCGUCUGAUUAGCUAGUUGGUGAGGU